rfam:Verticillium dahliae VdLs.17 supercont1.5 genomic scaffold, whole genome shotgun sequence.
CCAAUCAUAGUAAUGGUUAUGACUGCGGAUUCUGAUUCCGCCAGCCCAGGUUCGAUUCCUGGUUGGA